CAAACACACUGAGGAACUGUACAGGAUCUUUUGAGUGCGAGCAGGAUGAUGACUGCGGUGGCUCUGCUGUGCCUGGCUGCUCUGUGUGCAGUGCGGAAGAGGAAGAGAACAGAACUCAGAAUGGGACUACAGAAGGGAGGCAGAGAAGGUGAACACUAGAGGCUGCGUCAACCUCACCCUGGUGUUGGACAACCUAGAGGUUUUACUAUCAUGAACCAAGUCAAAGACCUGCUCCUCAAUGACCACAGCUCUGUGCUGUCUGACUACGGGAGGAUCCCUCCUCCACCAGGAUCCCUCCUCCACCAGGAUCCCUCCUCCACCAGGAUCCCUCC